rnacentral:rRNA from 1 species
UACGUAGGGUGCAAGCGUUAAUCGGAAUUACUGGGCGUAAAGCGUGCGCAGGCGGUCCGCUAAGACAGAUGUGAAAUCCCCGGGCUUAACCUGGGAACUGCAUUUGUGACUGGCGGGCUGGAGUAUGGCAGAGGGGGGUGGAAUUCCACGUGUAGCAGUGAAAUGCGUAGAGAUGUGGAGGAAUACCGAUGGCGAAGGCAGCCCGCUGGGCCAAUACUGACGCUCAUGCACGAAAGCGUGGGGAGCAAACAGG